AGCAGCUUGGCGCAGUGGAAGCGCGGUAUGUUUAACAAGCUCCAUCAAUAUCUACAAAACUAACUCAUCCCAGCCGGGCUCAUAACCCGGAGGUCACUGGAUCGAAACCAGUAGCUGCUA
rnacentral:tRNA from 1 species